GCCGCUUUAGCUCAGUGGUAGAGCGUCUGUCUCGUAAACAGAAGGUCGCAGGUUCGAACCCUGCAAGCGGCA
rfam:Steinernema glaseri strain NC unplaced genomic scaffold GLAS_6484, whole genome shotgun sequence.